rnacentral:rRNA from 1 species
UACGGGGGGGGCAAGCGUUGUUCGGAAUUACUGGGCGUAAAGGGCGCGUAGGCGGCCUGGCAAGUGGAAGGUGAAAUCCCUCGGCUUAACCGAGGAACUGCCCUCCAAACUGCUUGGCUUGAGUCCGGGAGAGGUGAGUGGAAUUCCCAGUGUAGCGGUGAAAUGCGUAGAUAUUGGGAGGAACACCAGUGGCGAAGGCGGCUCACUGGACCGGAACUGACGCUGCGGCGCGAAAGCGUGGGGAGCAAACGGG